rfam:Schistosoma mattheei strain Denwood, Zambia genome assembly, scaffold: SMTD_scaffold0001776
GCACUACUGAGGAGUCCCAUACUAAGACGAAACGGCCGUCCAGUGC